rnacentral:miRNA from 1 species
UUAGUCUGAUCAGAAGCGUGGG